ACUUGGUGAUGUGGGCAUUUGUGCAAGAGGUCCCUAAAGCACUCCCAUCUCUCAAAAAACAGUUCCCCAUUUAAUUAUGAGAAACUAGUGACUGCCUUCCUCGACU